GAUUCAUUUAGUCUUGGCACUUACUGAAUUUUCUUGUCCUUUGCCUCAAGUUGGCAGGAAGGGAAGAGAAGUCUUUGUGCUAUUGAAUACCAAAGCAGACCUCUAUUACAGCGAUGGCAGAAUGCUUUCUGGAAUGACAUUGGAGGCAGCUGAAAGAACAUCCUGAAGAUGUUCUGAUGGGAUGGAGAGAACGUCCCCUGGUGUCAUUGAUGAUCAGGCAGGUUUCACGAGCAAGACCCAUCAUUUGGCUUCUUGACUGGAUGUGUACCUGCGUGUAUCCACCUGUGUGCUGAACUCAUCCAACCACUGCUUAUCAAACUCCUUCACUGAAUUUGCCCAAUCCUGCCUGCUUCUAACUAUACCACUCAGCCUUCGGUCCCGCUCUCCUGGCCUUGAUUAUCUUGUGUGGUCUAAGGUGGCUAGAGAAGCAAUAAACAGACAGCAUGGGAGUGGGAUGGCAAUAACUCUACAUUCUAGAGACUCUCUCUUGCCGGUUUUGAUGAUGCAAGUGGCCAUAUUAGAGAGACCUGCGUAGCAAAACACUGAAAGCAACUUUCCACAACAGCCAGUGAGGAACAUCAAGCCCACAGACCUUUAGAGACUGAAUCCUGCCAAUAGUCACAUCUUUCCCCAGUCGAUGCUUCAGAUGAUGCUGCAGACCCUGGACCCCCAACUGCAACCUGGGAGAGACAGGAAGAUCAAACAAGUCCAUCCUAAGUGAAAUCAACCCUGAAUAUUCAUUGGAAGGACUGAUGCUGAAGCUGAAGCUCCAAUACUUUGGCCACUUGAUGUCCAGAGCUGACGCAUUGGAAAAGACCCUGAUGCUGGGAAAGAUUGAGAGUAGGAGGAGAAGGGGAUGACAGAGGAUGAGAUGGUUGGAUGGCAUCACCGACUCAAUGGACAUGAGUUUGAGUAAACUCUGGGAUAUAGUGAAGGACAGGGAAGCCUGGUGUGCUGCAGUUCAUGGGGUUACAAAGAGUCGGACACGACUGAGUGACUGAACAAAAAUGACAACAGUAAGAGACAAGAAGCAGAAGACAAGCUGGAUUGUAUCUCCAUUCCUGACUCACAGAAACUGUGAGAUAAUAAAAAUUUUAAGCCACUAAAAGUUGGGGGUAAU
ensembl:lncRNA